UACGGAGGGUGCGAGCGUUGUCCGGAAUCACUGGGCGUAAAGGGCGCGUAGGCGGCCUGAUAAGUAGGGGGGUGAAAUCCUGCGGCUUAACCGCAGGGCUGCCUUCUAAACUGUCGGGCUAGAGCACGGUAGAGGCAGAUGGAAUUCCCGGUGUAGCGGUGGAAUGCGUAGAGAUCGGGAAGAACAUCAGUGGCGAAGGCGGUCUGCUGGGCCGUUGCUGACGCUGAUGCGCGAAAGCGUGGGGAGCGA
rnacentral:rRNA from 1 species